GGAGGUGGCCGGUUGGUGAGAAGCAGCGGUCCGCCAUUACUGUUUUAUUGCUGUAGGUGCUGGAGGUACAAUGUCGGCGCCAAAGAGCCA